GACCGCCUAGCUCAGUUGGAGAGCAUUGGACUAGUAUUCCAAAGGUCGUAGGUUCGAUUCCCACCGCGAUCA
rnacentral:tRNA from 1 species